AGACAAUAGAUACCCUGGUAGUCCACGCCGUAAACUAUGGAUGCUAGCUGUUAGAGGUAUCGACCCCUCUAGUAGCGAAAGCUAACGCGUUAAGCAUCCCGCCUGUGGAGUACGGUCGCAAGACUAAAACAUAAAGGAAUUGACGGGGACCCGCACAAGCGGUGGAGCGUGUUGUUUAAUUCGAUGGUAAGCGAAGAACCUUACCCAGGCUUGACAUCCUUGGAAUUUUGGCGAAAGCCGAGAGUGCCUUCGGGAACCAAGUGACAGGUGUUGCAUGGCCGUCGUCAGCUCGUGCCGUGAGAUGUUUGGUUAAGUCCAUCAACGAGCGCAACCCUUAUAGUUAGUUGAAUUUUUCUAGCUAGACUGCCCUGGCAACAGGGAGGAAGGAGGGGAUGAUGUCAGGUCAGUACUACCCUUACGUCUGGGGCUACAAACACGCUACAAUGGCCGGUACAAAGGGCAGCCAAGUCGCGAGACGGAGCAAAUCCCAUCAAAGCCGGUCUAAGUUCGGAUAGCAGGCUGAAACUCGCCUGCUUGAAG
rnacentral:rRNA from 1 species